rnacentral:lncRNA from 10 species
UAAAUAUGACAACCGAGGGGUCUUUCCAAGAGUUUCUAGUAGGCUGCUCCAGAGCUGUUCCAGCCUACAACCUGCGUGUGGGCAGCGGCUCCGCACGUACCCAGGUGUGACAGUGGGGCAGAGCCUCAGGGCUGGGUGUGUGGCUGCAUCUGGCCACGGAUCCUAGGGGCAUAAUUGCAAAUCCUGUCAGCAUCAUCAUCUUUCAUGCAGGAAGAAGCAAGAGUCAGGAUCAUUGAACUCAUCUUUCUAAAAACCCAGUGACUCAGGCAGGAGAACGGGGACCUGGUCUGUAGCCCACUCAUGGCCUCCGGGGCAUCCUUCCACAAGCUGCACCCAGUCCUGAGUCAGGAGCUCAGGAAAUCCUGCCUGCAGGCAGGAUGAGCACACACAGCUUCCUACGUGUGCUACUUUGUCUCACGAUACAGAGCGGGAGGGAGGCACUGCCCUCUAACCAGGAUGAGAGACUCCCUAGCCCGGGCAGGGAAAGGGGAGCUGCUGAGGGCUGAGGCUGGGAUGAGUCCCAGAGAGAGGUUGCACCUGGCGUCCUGGGCAGCAAUCCCAGAGCACCAAGACCUCAGAGUGGCCCCGGGUGAAGGUGGUCAGGGCAGGUGGGCCCCUGGCAGCCUCAGAACCAACAGAGGAUGGGGUUAGGACGCAGAUAAAGGAGAAGCCAUUUGGUGGCAGCCAGUGUGCACCGGGCACUGGCCAAGGGCUGAGGGUCCAGGGCCCAGUGGUGUCUCCACAAACACCCUGAGUGGACAGAUAUGCCAUCCUGCUGCCCACAGCCCCGCACAGACACAGCCCUGGGCAAGAAGGCAUGGAGGACCUGCAGUCACUACGACUAUGUUCCUGCCAGCCGGUAGAGUGGAGAGGUCUAGGAAUAGAAAUUGUAGGAACAGUAAAGUCGUGUUUCUCGUUCAGCUGUUUCUGGGCUGUGCUCCUCUACCCAAGUGUCCCCUGCCCGCUCAGGCCAGCAUCCACCAGAGUGAGUUUAAGUAGAGGGCUUCACAGGGGCUUUGCAGGGAGGGCUGGGGCCUCAGGCUGCAGGCGUGGCCUCCGGGAAAGACCCAGGGCUGGCCUGGCUGGCACGGCCGCUGCCCCUGCCCCUGUCCAGGGAAGGAGGCCUGCACCUCACCUCCGUAGCUUUCCUUAGGAGUUCUGCCUGGAUGUGCCUCCCCGGCAGAGAUGAAGUCACAUAGCUACACCCUAGGGCCUGGGAGGUUGCACGAUAUAGUUCCUGAAUUCUGCAACAGGAAGAUGGGAUUCACGAUGCAGAACUUUCAGAAAUGUUCAGAGCGUGUUCAGGUGACUUGAGGCAGCCACAGAUGACACCACAGGUGCGGUAAGUGAAGGCUGCUUAUUUCUGAAUGCAUAUCUUCCUGAAUUCCACGAUUAGCAGAAUCUCUUAGAUGUUCAAGGGAUAUAACCAUAUAAUUGGCAAAUAAAGAUAAUUUGGUUGCUUCUUUCCCG